rnacentral:rRNA from 1 species
GACGAACGCUGGCGGCGUGCCUAAUACAUGCAAGUCGAGCGGACCUCUUCGGAGGUCAGCGGCGGACGGGUGAGUAACACGUGGGCAACCUGCCUGUAAGACUGGGAUAACACCGGGAAACCGGUGCUAAUACCGGAUAAUCCUUUUCUUCACAUGGGGAAAAGCUGAAAGAUGGUUUCGGCUGUCACUUACAGAUGGGCCCGCGGCGCAUUAGCUAGUUGGUGAGGUAACGGCUCACCAAGGCGAGGAUGCGUAGCCGACCUGAGAGGGUGAUCGGCCACACUGGGACUGAGACACGGCCCAGACUCCUACGGGAGGCAGCAGUAGGGAAUCUUCCGCAAUGGACGAAAGUCUGACGGAGCAACGCCGCGUGAGCGAAGAAGGCCUUCGGGUCGUAAAGCUCUGUUGUCAGGGAAGAACACGUACCGGAGUAACUGCCGGUACCUUGACGGUACCUGACCAGAAAGCCACGGCUAACUACGUGCCAGCCGCCGCAGUAA